UGCCAGCAGCAGCAGCAGCAGCAGCAGCAGCAGCAGCAGCAGCUGCUGCUGCUGCUGUAGUUGCUGCAACUUCAACAGCAGCAGCAGCAGCUGCUGUGGCUGCUGCAGCUGCUACAGUUGCUGCUGCUGCAGCUGCUACUGCUGCAGCUGUUGCGGUAGCUAUUGCCGCAGCUGCUGCUGCUGCUGCUGCAGCAGCUGCUGCAGCAGCUGCUGCUGCAGCUGCUGCAGCAGCUGCUGCAGCAGCAGCAGCGCAAGCAGGCGUUGCUUGCGUUU
rnacentral:sRNA from 1 species